rnacentral:rRNA from 1 species
UACGGAGGGUGCAAGCGUUGUUCGGAAUCACUGGGCGUAAAGCGCGUGUAGGCGGUCUGUUAAGUCUGAUGUGAAAGCCCGGGGCUCACCCCCGGAAGUGCAUUGGAAACUGACAGACUGGAGUCCCGGAGAGGAGGGUGGAAUUCCUGGUGUAGCGGUGAAAUGCGUAGAUAUCAGGAGGAACACCGGUGGCGAAGGCGGCCCUCUGGACGGUGACUGACGCUGAGACGCGAAAGCGUGGGGAGCAAACAGG